rnacentral:lncRNA from 1 species
GGGUAGGGUUAGGGUAGAAACAUUAGGACAUGGACUGACCAGGUGAAUCCAGGUGAGGGUUAGGGUGAGGGUGAGGGUUAGGGUGAGGGUUAGGGUGAGGGUUAGGGUGAGAAACAUUAGGACAUGGACUGACCAGGUGAAUCCAGGUGAGGGUGAGGGUGAGGGGGUUGAGAAACAUUAGGACAUGGACUGACCAGGUGAAUCCAGGUGAGGUUAGGGUGAGGGUGAGGGUGACGGUGAGGGUUAGGGUGAGGGUUAGGGUUAGGGUGAGGGUGAGAAACAUUAGGACAUCGACUGACCAAGGUGAAUCCAGGUGAGGGUUAGGGUGAGGGUGAGAAACAUUAGGACAUCGACUGACCAGGUGAAUCCAGGUGAAAGCUUUCAUCCCUUAUUGAUGUCACUUAUUAAAUCCACUUCGAUCAGUGUAGAUGAAGGGGAGGAGACAGGCUGAAGAAGGAUUAUUAAGAAUUGAGAGAAUUGAGACAUGGAUUGUGUAU